rnacentral:rRNA from 1 species
GACGAACGCUGGCGGCGUGCCUAAUACAUGCAAGUCGAGCGGACAGACGGGAGCUUGCUCCCUGAUGUUAGCGGCGGACGGGUGAGUAACACGUGUGUAACCUGCCUCUAAGACUGGGAUAACUCCGGGAAACCGGGGCUAAUACCGGAUGGUUGUCUUAACCGCAUGGUUCAGACAUGAAAGGUGGCUUCGGCUUCCACUUACAGAAGGACCCGCGGCUGAUUAGCUAGUUGGUGAGGUAACGGCCCAACAAGGCAACGAUGCGUAGCCGACCUGGAAAGGUGAACCGCCCAACUGGGAACGGGGACAGGCCCAGGAUUCCAAGGGAGGCAGCAGUAGGGAAACUUUCGGAAAUGGGGGAAGUCUGAAGGGGCAAAGCCGGGGGAGUGGUGGAGGGUCUCGGGUCGGUAAGACCUGUUGUUAGGGAAGAAAAAGAGGCGUUCAAAUAGGGCGGCACCUUGACGGUACCUAACCAGAAAGCCACGGCUAACUACGUG